UCCAUGCAUGUACAGGACAGGCUGCUCUGGAGGUGGGACCAUGCCAGCAGCCCUAUGCUGAGUGUUAACACCCCAAGGAGGGGAAGAAACUACACCAUGUCCUGGGUGCCUGUAUGGGAAAUGCCUUUAAAUCACUCUUGCUCCUUUCCCUGGAGCAAAGAGGUUGGUUGAGAGAGUUCUGAGAGCUCCACUCCUGUGAAUGUCAACAGUCCUUCAAGAAAGAGGACCCAGAUUGCUGGAAAGGUUUAUCUGGACCAGAGCCUACUCCUGGCCGAGAUCUGAAAGAGCUCAGGGAAGAUGCUCUUCCAAGUGCCCUAGGACAGUCUGCCAGGAAAGGACAUCUCCAUCCCAGGAAAGGAAAGGUUCCUAGAGCACGUGGAUCUGUUCUUCCAUGCUGCAUUUGGCGUAGGAGAGCUUUGAUCCUUUGGAAACACAGCAAUAAACCUUUUGGUGUUGUUCCUUCUUGACUUCUGAGACUGACUCCAACAUCUGACAUCAAGAGAGAUGAUGUUCAUCCAUCUGCAGAAGGCCUGUACAUCAACAAAAGCUAGGUUCUAUAUAGUUACUGGUCAUUCUCCUAUCCAUUACUUCAUUCUAACCAUGCUACUUCUGAACAUGCUUGUCUCUGAAAGCAAUUAUGGACUUGCUGGAUGGUAAAGCUGUUGAAGGGGUAUAUUCCCACUUCCCUUCCAAAUACAACCAGCCAUGACCAGGAUGUGCUCUGCUAGAAUAAAACUGGCCGACUCCCAUCAAAAUCUCCAAGCUGUGCAAGUUCACACCAUACAGCUCUUCAGUCUCAGUUUCUGAGUCCAUUUCUGAGCACGAGAGGGAAAAACAACACACAAAUGCGGAAUCCCAGUUACUGCUAGGAAGUUUAAAUUGAAAGUUGAAGCUAAAAUUGCUUGUUAUUACUGGAAAUAUUUGAAUUGUCUUAGUGAGGAGGUUUUUUCAUGUUAAUGGGGUAUCUUUGGUUCAUGCUAUCUUUGUUCCGAUAUGUUUGUUGUGUAACUGGUUUUUGCACGUACUGUAUUUUGAUACAAAUUGUCUAGCACUACAACUAUCAUAAAUGGUCAUCACAGUAAACAAAGCCCAGUCACUGAAUGCUGGGUGAAAGGAGCACAUUAGCAAUAAGACAGCUGACAGAGGAAGAGACAGUGUGAGACUGCAGCCUUGAAGCGUGUCACUGACUUCAGGCAAUGCAGAUCAGCAGGAGAUAGGACUGCAGCAGAUGGUCUGAGUUUGAUUAAUCAAAUGUCCUGAAUUAAAGCCUGAUUGUAUUUAUUAAAAAAAAAAAAAAUUAAAGGCUGAAAAGUCAA